UUGUGGAGGAGGACGCCGAAGGUGGGGCUAAUGACUGGGGUGAAGUCGUAACAAGGUAGCCGUACCGGAAGGUGCGGCUGGAUCACCUCCUAACAGGGAGACAACAAAAUGUAAAUAUUAAUUUUGUCACCUUAGGUCGAUCGGUAUCUCAGAUUCUUAUUAUUUAAGAAUUUCAGUUUCUAAGUUUUUUCUAGGUCACACCCAUCACUUUUUCCUGGGCCAUUAGCUCAGGUGGUUAGAGCGCACCCCUGAUAAGGGUGAGGUCCCUGGUUCAAGUCCAGGAUGGCCCAUAUCUCUAUGUUGGGGGUAUAGCUCAGUUGGUAGAGCGCCUGCUUUGCAAGCAGGAUGUCAGCGGUUCGAGUCCGCUUACCUCCACUGAAUACCACCUCUUACAUAUAGUUGAAGUGGGAAAUUGUUUUGAGUCGUGUCCUAAUUUGCUCUGAGCGAAUCUAGCUUCCUAUUUUAUCCAAGAAAUGAGAUGCUGGACUCAUUGAAUUUUUUUUCAUUGUUUUCAGAGAACCUUGACAACUGCAUAGAUUAUUUUUAAAGACAAUAAGCAUCUUUAAUGAUGCAGAUUUAUUAUUUGUGCGAAUGCAUUAAAUAACAAUUCUAUUAAGCUGAUGCUUCAAUUAUGAAGUUAUUGGUCAAGCUACAA
rnacentral:misc_RNA from 1 species